GCGGGAAGAGCUCAAAUUUGAAAUCUGGUAGCCUUCGGUUGCCCGAGUUGUAAUCUAGAGAAGUGUUUUCCGCGUUGGCCCAUGUACAAGUCCCUUGGAACAGGGCGUCAUAGAGGGUGAGAAUCCCGUCCUUGACAUGGACCCCCAAUGCUUUGUGAUACACUUUCAACGAGUCGAGUUGUUUGGGAAUGCAGCUCAAAAUGGGUGGUGAAUUCCAUCUAAAGCUAAAUAUUGGCGAGAGACCGAUAGCGAACAAGUACCGUGAGGGAAAGAUGAAAAGCACUUUGGAAAGAGAGUUAAACAGUACGUGAAAUUGUUGAAAGGGAAACGAUUGAAGUCAGUCAUGCUCUUUGGAUUAAGCCGUUCUGCGGUGUAUUUCAUUGAGCGGGGUCAACAUCAGUUUUGAUCGCUGGAAAAGGGCAGGAGGAAGGUAGCACUCUCGGGUGAACUUAUAGCCUCUUGUCGUAUACAGUGAUUGGGACUGAGGAACGCAGCAUGCCUUUUGGCCGGGAUUCGUCCACGUACAUGCUUAGGAUGUUGACAUAAUGGCUUUAAACGACCCGUC
rnacentral:rRNA from 1 species